UGCUGAUCCAAAAAAUGGUCCGAUCCAUAACUCAAAAAACGUAGAGUGAUCCGAACUGCAGAUUUUGGAUCCGUUACACCACUAUUAGUCACCCUUUCCCAAACCCUGGUUAGCCUGUCGAUUAUCAUUUGCCACAACUAGCGCUACUUCACCCAUAUUCUCCUACCUCAUGGCUCUGUUGAAGAGCAUUUAAUAGGUUGCACAUGUCUUAAUAAAGGUUGCCUCCCUCUCUUUAAAAACAUUUUUUUUAGAAACUAGGCAUUUCCUCUUAGCAAAUAGUCAAUAUCAUAUAUUAUUAUUAUCAUUGUAUUUAAAUUGUCAGAAAAUGUCACCAUGUAUAAAAAGCAUGCAGAUUUUUUCCUUUCCUUUACUUUUUUUUAACUAAACAGCAUGCUCUAAUUGGUGAAGUGCAUGUAAGUUUUGAAAUAACCUGCACUGAAUUGAGCGGACUGUAGUGUAGUAUUUGCGGUAGAUCAAAAUGAGUGAACAAGUGGAUUUGGCAAUCACAAGAGAAAAAGAGGAGAGGGUGCAUCUUUAUUGAGGCAUGUUUCAUGUAUUCACUUCUUCAAACAGACCCAUGAUGAGGAGAAUGAGAGUAUAGAAGACGUUAUGGUAAUGUUAUGUGCAAGCUAGCAUUAACCAGGUGGAAUAUGCUAAUGGCAGUGCAGACUGGAUUCAUCGUGUGUCUGAGGGCGUACUAGCACUGUACAGUUGCCAUGAACCAGGCUGAAGCAUGCUUUUCCCCCCUUCCGUCUCCCCCUACGGCCUGCACUCACAUUGCAUUCGUGCCUGGGCAGUCUUAUGUCAACGAACGUGCUGUUCAAGUGUGUCAUGUGGAGGAGUUGACCUUCUCUCCUGUAACAAACAUGAAAAAGCAAAGUCUCUUCAUGAGCCAUUAUCUUUGAAUUCUAAACAGAGUGAGCUUCAAAGAGCGCCUCCAUGAGCCUGUGGCUUUAACCAACACAAACAGAGUUGUCUUCUACAGAGCACCUCCAUAAGCCAGUCGCUUUGACAAACACAGAGUUGUCUUCUACAGAGUACCUCCCUGAGCCCGUCACUUUGACCAACACAGAGUUGUCUUCUACAGAGUACCUCCAUGACCCAGUCACUUUGUCAAACACAAACAGAGUUGUCUUCUACAGAGUACCUUCAUGAGUCCGUCACUUUGACAAACACAAACAGAGUUGUCUUCUACAGAGCACCUCCAUAAGACAGUCACUUUGUCAAACACAAACAGAGCUGUCUUCUACAGAGUAUCUCAAUGAGCUCGUCACUUUGACAAACACAAACAGAGUUGUCUUCUACAGAGUACCCCAAUGAGCUAAAUGCUUCGACAAACACAGAGUUGUCUUCUAAAGAGUAUCCCAAUGAGCUCGUCACUUUGACAAACACAAACAGAGUUGUCUUCUACAGAGCACCUCCAUAAGCCAGUCGCUUUGUCAAACACAAACAGAGUUGUCUUCUACAGAGUACCCCAAUGAGCUAAAUGCUUCGACAAACACAGAGUUCUCUUCUACAGAGCACCUCCAUAAGACAGUCACUUUGACAAACACAAACAGAGCUGUCUUCUACAGAGGAAAUAACAGGUGAAUCUUGACAGAAAUCCAGGAAGCCAGACAGUGAUGGUGGUGAUGGUAAGAAUUUCUGUCAAUAACAAUGCAGGAAGAAACUAAGCUCUAGCACUGGCAGAACAACCUACAUGAGAAGACCAUGGACAAAAGCAGACGUGAAGGCUGUAAUGAGUUCAAAAGACUGAUUAUUAUUAUACACAUUUUCAUUUUUUUUUCCUUGUCACAGAGUGACAAUAUUUAACCAUUUUCAAACAUGUAAAUUAAAAAAAAAAAAACAUGGCCCAGGCCCACUUCUGUUCCAUGCCAGUGCUUCACAGUCCAUCAUCACUCAGGGCAGUCUCUACAUUGCUCUACAGUUUGCCUCUGCUUCUCAACCCAUGUCUGCCACUACUCCACAGUCUGGUACUGCUCCACAGUCCAGGUCCACGUCUGCUUCAUGAGCCUGGGCAAUACCCAUCACACAAAAAUACAUAACCCACAAAUGCAGUCUCUCAGACUGAACAUUUACAACAGUGUUGAGUAGCAAAAAGACAUGUUUUUUGUUUUUUAUUUACAUGUUUGAAAAUGGUCAAAUAUUGUCACUGUGACAAAAAAGUGAAAAUGUGUAUGAUAUUAAUUAGUCACAUUAUAACACAUUAUAUUACUGUCACAUUACGAAAUUUAGUUUUUAAUCUGUUUUGUGUUCAUAUAAUUCUGUAUGUAUCAUUCAAUUUGUGGAAUCAAACUUUUAUGUCUAGUUUUAUCUUUUUUUCUUUUUAUCUAUCUUUUUAUUUAUUUUUAUCCAUCUAUUUUUUGUUCUUGUCAGAGCGAUAAUAGUUGAUGCAUUUCAUAAUAAAAUGUAUAUACAUG